rnacentral:misc_RNA from 1 species
CGCGCGCAGGAAGCAGAGGUGCUAGCUGCUCUGUAAUACUCAUGCUGCCUGCCCUUGGUUCUCGUUGUCGAGUUGGCCCUCCACCACCACUCUCCAUCCCUCUGCGCGUGUGCACGCAUUUCAGUCCACCCGCUCGAUUUUUGCCCUCUGCCGCUCACAUCAACGCGGUGAGCGAAUACUCCGCACGGGUCCACCCCUCCAUAGACCGUCUCAAGAGGUGCACAUAGAGUCGCGCAGCAGAUAAACAGAAAAGCGCUGCUGCGUUGCGAAGCUUCACGCCAGCCAGCGAAAGUGGGAGAAAGGUACGACGUGUAAGCCGAGCAGGCGGCCAGCGUGUGUGCAACUGUGUAGUGCCUUCGAUUCACGCACCCUCCUCCGGCGUUCAACUCCCCACCUUUCCGCUUGCUUGUGAGCAACAGGCAAACUGGCGCGGAUCCUGCUCUCGACGUCGCGCGCCUUCGCCAGUCGCUUCAGACAAUGACUUCGCCAACCUGUGGUGACGAGGCAGGGCGGCGCAGGGAUGCCUUGAGGGAGCAGGCCACAAUGCUGCUCACGCUGCACCAACACCUGCUGCAGCACCAGAAGGCGGCUCAUCAGGCCUUCACCUCUUUGGAUCAGGCCUGCUGCUCCUUGGCCGCUUCCUUGGCGGCGCCGUCUGCGUACGGUGUAAUCGGCGGCGCAGCUUCGAAGGAGGCGUCGUCUGAGGCGACGUCGCCGUUAUCAUCGUCGCCGCCGUCCGCCGCGCAAGGAUUCACGCAGCUGCUGCGACGUGUCGAGGUGCUUCAUCAGUUUCUCUUCACAAAUCUGUACGUGCAUCAGCGCGAGAGCGUGCUGCGUCUCGUGGACGACGUGGAACGGCUUGUCACUGACAACGCGCUAGCCCCAUCGUCCUUGGCGACGCCUCACUCCACGAUGCCAGAUGGCAUUGGCAGCAGCAGCAGCAGCAGCUGUGGCGGGGCUGACGGCUCGCACCUGGGCGAGGAGCUACGAGAGCUGCGCCGGCAAAUCACACAGCUCCGCUACCAGCUUGCGCGUCCUGCCAAGGCUCACGCAAGUGGCUGUUUUUCCACGCACACCGACGGCGCCCCCCGCGGGCUGCUACCCCAAGCGCAGACGACAUCGUUCUCCUCUCCGCCGCGCGAGAACGGCAACUCUGGCCCCUCCUCGCCAGCACCGCGGGCUGUACGGCACGCCCCCAGAGCCCCUCGUGCACAGGCAGGGGUGGCUGCAUCGAAGAUGCAAGGGGCCGCACGCCAGAAUAUGCCCCGACUGCGGCUCUUUGCGCUGUCCUCGGCGUUCCAGAAACACGGCGUCGCCGGUCAGAAGGGCCUUGCCGCCGUGCUGUACGCAGUGCAGCGUCGCUUUCACGUUCACGCUGUUGUACUUGGCUGCACGCCAAGCCCGGAGGCGGAGGUGGACGUGGCUGUGCGACUCGGCUGCUUGUGCCUUGUAGUGCCGCAUCAUGACCUAGGCAGCUUCCCGGUGCACGCUGGCUUAGUCGUCACCAGUGAUCGAGCGGUGAUCGCCCACAUGGAGAGCCGCGGCAACGGCAUGUCUUCCACCGCGGACACGUCACCGUUGGGGGGCGACGCGGCGGAGUGCGAUGAGGAUCUGGCGCUCAUGGCCGACGGCGGCGGCAAAUGCACGGCCGCUCUCGAGGAGCUCUUCGUGUCGCUCGAGGCGGAUCUUCCGCUGAUGACCGCUGCCGAGCCGGUGUGCCCAUCGCUGUUCACUACCGCUGCGGCGGAACGCGACGCGCCCGGUAGUCAGGCGCUCGUCGUUGAGCGGUCAGCGCUGCACCGAGACGGGCGCCAAACAUCGCGUCAGCGAAAGCGCCAUUGCUCUGGCGGCGCUGCGCGCUCAUCUGUUCACUCGACAUCUGCAUCAGCGCCUGAGGGUGUUGCCGUGUCAACGUGUGAGUCCGACGCUCUGUUGAAUACGGCAGCGGAUCUCUCCAGUCCGUCUUCGCGCGCUCGCAUCACUGGCGCCUCGUGGCUGCGAACGGGCGCCGUUGCCGACGUGAUGAACCCUGCAGAGGUGUACGAUGCAGCGGCAGAUGCAGACGUCAUCGUUCCCUCGCAGCUCGCCGUCGAGUCACAGCACGUGGGCAUCACGCAGAACUUUUCAUCGUCGCGCCGCUCGGCUACCCCAUCCGACUCCCCGUGCGCCAUCCCGGUGCUGCGUCCGCACGAGGGCGUUGCGAGAGCCGAUGAGGCGGCCUCUUCGGCCUCCGCUGCUGACGGAAGUGCGUCUCAGCAGCUUGUCUUUCAGAUUAGCAACUCUGUCAAGUACCUGAAAGCUCAGUUGAUGGAAGCCAUUGUACAACUUGGCGGGGUGGUGGACCAGAGCUCCGGCUACAGCCGCGCGUGCCGCUACCUUGUGGUGGCGGAGGGCAUCACAGAGAGGACGGAGAAGUACCUUGGCGCCUGCGCUGCUGCCGCGUACAUUGUGCCGCCGCGCUUCGUCUUCGACUCGCACCGUCGUGGCUACUGGCUAGCGAACCGCGUUCAAGAGUACGACAUGAGCCCUCAGCGCAUCAUCGCACACGCGCCGCGCGCCGUUCCAAUCUUCAGCAACUGGCGAGUUGUUCUCAUCACUUGCCGUGCCGCCGCUGCACGGGGCGUGCUGGCGGCGUUGCAGGCUGGUGGCUGCACACAGGCCACCGCGUUUGUGGUGGACAUUACGGCAGAACCACCGAUGGACCCCGGCGCGCGCUCGUGCACCUACGACGAGACUUGUGCAACCGCCGAGGGACUUGUCGAAGGGGUGUGCCCAUCUAGCAGCAUCGCUGCACACACGCUGCAGUCGGCGACGCACAUCCUUGUCGAAUGCAGCGCCGUCACCGCUCAUGGACUCUUUCAAAUGCCGGACUGGAUGCCGGCCUGCGUGCGUCAGCCCGAGUACCAGCCCCGCGUCUUCACGCUGGAGCUGCUUUACUUUUGCCUAUGCGCGCAUCCAGAGCGCGUCUUCGACGCGGAGGGCCAGCUGAGCGAGGUGGACGCCCUCACCCCCGCUUGCCGAGUCGAGCCUGCCUGAGCAGGUACUACUGCCACAGCUUUGGAGGAGCGACGUCCUUGCGGUGCGCUUGGAGGGGGAGGGAGAGGGGCGAUAGCGGCUGGUGUGGCGGCUCUUCGACGCGUUCUAGACAGAGGCGCGCACGUUCCUCGCAUGGCGCGACCAGGGGAAGAGACUGUCGCCGCUUGAGGGCCGAGAGAGCCCCAGUGUGCGGAGAUGCACGCAGGUGCACACACUGCGGUGUAGGCGUACCCAAGAGUGGUGACUGAUGACGACUGCCGCUCCUGCUCUCCUCUUCUCCCUCACUCUCUCGCACCUAGUGAGAUGAGCUUCACCCCACUGCACUCGAAAACGAAGAAGGCUCGUCUUGGCGGCGUGAGGGCGCCCACAGAGUCGAUGCGUUAUUUCAGCUUUAUGGAGGGAGGGGGGAUGGGGGGGGUCAUGCGUACAUGCGCCUCCUUCUAUACCGCGGGAGGGGAGGGUGGGUUGUGCUUCCCACAUUCCCGUCACGACAUGCGAUGCCGUUUCGUCUCUCCCGUCUCUGCUUCUUCUCCUUUUUGUUGCGCCACUGUGUGCGUGUGUGUGCCUGCGUGUUGCCCGCAUGCAAGGCAGUGGAGGGGGUGGGGUCGCAGCUGUUUCUUCCGGGCGGCUUCCGGCCGCGGCGCAUGGGCAUAUGCAUGUGCGUGUGGGGCGUCACAGCUCUUUUUUCCUGCCUCUUAUGCCAGGGAGGAUGUGAACUGGCUUUCGCUACCUUGUCUGUGAGCUCCAGUCUGUCCCGCCCUGUGACCCGCGCCUCACCGUGCGCGCGACCGGGGUGAGAGGCACACGAUGGAUAAGGGAAAGGUGGGCCCUGCACGUUCGCAGAAGGCAUUGAAAAGAUAAGCAGCAAUGCUCUCAGAGCGGAAUGCAGAAGUGCGCUCCUUCCCCACCUCCGCCCAGCUGGCCACGCCCGACGAGCUGAUAACAUCGCCCAGAACAGGUCAGGAAAGGGGCGACGGAGCCCCACAACCCCAUCGCUGCCGUCUUCUCCUGCUUCAUUUCCUUUUGAUUUCACGCCAGAGAGGGAACGAGGCAUGUGCAUACAAGCAGACGUGGCACGCACGUAGACAGGCA